CACUGUUAUAACACGUUACAGUCCAGGGUAUCAUGUAGGAAAAGAAACGAAUAAAAGUUAACAUCUGCAAGCCAUACACAACGCAGCUCAAACAACAAAAGUAUGAAUUUGAAAGUGGACAAUCCUGAAUUGAAGAAUGGCAGCCUAGCCCAAAGAGCAGAGGCUUUGGAGUAGAGAUCCCAGGAAUUAAAGAUUUCACCACGAUCUGCCCAUGGGAAGCAUACAGCCAUCUUGACCUACAGGAACUGGCUCAAUAUGGUAUAGUCUCUUCAUUGAGAAUUUAUUUCUUCUAUAUUUACCCAUCUAGA